rnacentral:rRNA from 1 species
GGUUAAGUGACUAAGCGUACAUGGUGGAUGCCUUGGCAGUCAGAGGCGAUGAAGGACGUACUAACCUGCGAUAAGCCGUGAGCAGUCGGUAAGAGACAUUACGACUCACGGAUUUCCGAAUGGGGAAACCCACUUAGCAUAAGCUAGGUAUCGCUGCGUGAAUACAUAGCGUAGCGAGGCGAACCGGGAGAACUGAAACAUCUAAGUACCCCGAGGAAAAGAAAUCAACCGAGAUUCCCUCAGUAGCGGCGAGCGAACGGGGAUUAGCCCUUAAGCAUCUUGGAAGUUAGUGGAACGGUCCUGGAAAGGCCGGCGAUACAGGGUGAUAGCCCCGUACACGAAAACAACCUUGAUGUGAAAUCGAGUAGGGCGGGACACGUGACAUCCUGUCUGAAUAUGGGGGGACCAUCCUCCAAGGCUAAAUACUCCUGACUGACCGAUAGUGAACCAGUACCGUGAGGGAAAGGCGAAAAGAACCCCUGUGAGGGGAGUGAAAUAGAACCUGAAACCGUGUACGUACAAGCAGUGGGAGCCCUUCGGGGUGACUGCGUACCUUUUGUAUAAUGGGUCAGCGACUUACAUUUUGUAGCGAGGUUAACCGUAUAGGGGAGCCGUAGGGAAACCGAGUCUUAACUGGGCGUCUAGUUGCAAGGUGUAGACCCGAAACCGGGUGAUCUAGCCAUGGGCAGGUUGAAGGUUGAGUAACAUCAACUGGAGGACCGAACCCACUAACGUUGCAAAGUUAGGGGAUGACCUGUGGCUGGGGGUGAAAGGCCAAUCAAACUCGGAGAUAGCUGGUUCUCCCCGAAAGCUAUUUAGGUAGCGCCUCGGACGAAUACUACUGGGGGUAGAGCACUGUUUGGGCUAGGGGGUCAUCCCGACUUACCAACCCCAUGCAAACUCCGAAUACCAGUAAGUACUAUCCGGGAGACACACGGCGGGUGCUAACGUCCGUCGUGAAGAGGGAAACAACCCAGACCGCCGGCUAAGGUCCCAAAGUUCUGGUUAAGUGGGAAACGAUGUGGGAAGGCUCAGACAGCUAGGAUGUUGGCUUAGAAGCAGCCAUCAUUUAAAGAAAGCGUAAUAGCUCACUAGUCGAGUCGGCCUGCGCGGAAGAUGUAACGGGGCUCAAACCAGGCACCGAAGCCGCGGAUUCAC